rnacentral:rRNA from 1 species
UGACCGUAUUGGCUGACUGAUGCAGGAUUUCACAAGGGUCGGCAACGAUUCUUGUUAAACUCGAUCUCAAAUC